rnacentral:tRNA from 1 species
AUGGGUGUAGCUCAAUAGUAGAGUGCAUGCUUUGCAUGUAUUGCAUGUAGGCCCUGGGUUCAAUCCCCAGUAUUAAAU